UAGACUUAUUUGUCAUAAGUUAAAUCUUCGUUCUUUCUCCCUCAUCAACGAAAUUAGACCCAACUAUCGAAACCCUGACCCCUUUCCCAUUUUUUGUCCAUUUUUUCAAACCGAUCUGUGUCAAAGUCUUCUUCCCUAUCUCUAGCCAUGUCAGAGGUUCUGUUCACCUCUCCCAUCCACGCUCCCUUCAUCUUUUCUCACACGAAUUCAGCGUCAAAAGUCUUCAAAUCAAUAGAAAACAUGACGAAUCCCAGAGGAUCCGUGGAUUUGAUGGGCGAUAUCAGAUUUUUCAACCAAAAUCAUCAAUUCUUGUACUUGUUGGUUUUUCCAUUUUCUUUUCAACCGAACCCUCACCCCCUCCUUGGAUGAUUUUCAAAUUUAAAAUACCCUCUUGUUUUAGUAUAAAUACAUGGUCUUGGUGACCAUCGAUAUAGAGAUUGAUCGCCCCAAAAAUCUGAAAACAAUUACUGAUUUUGUUCUCUGAUUUCUCAACUUGUUUUUCUCAUCUUUAUUAACUCUCAUGCCUUGCUUCUAUUCGAAUACUAAAAUUCGAGUGUUGCGGUGAAAGUAAGGAUUCGUCAUCGACUUAGCCUCAGUCGCUGUACGCUACAAAGGUAGACAGGGAGACGGCACAGAUGCUUAGGAGCUUUAUCAACAGCUAUAUUGGAGCACUUCACUACUCCGGAGUUGCCGCUUAUUGAUAUAUUCUUGUGUACAUAUUGGGGCAUGGUGAGGUUCUGUCCCGUCCUUAUGGUUUCAGUACUUCAGUUAGAGGCUCGUAGAUACUCAUGUGUGGGUAGUAGAUGUUAUGUGGCCUCUCCAGUGUAUAUUUUGCAUAUCAUUUUGUAGCCUCGUGGGCAUAAGGCUCAAUCCAUUCUCUGACUCUUUUAUUUUAUGCUUUGUAUAUGUUUUUUUUUUUUUUUUUGCACUAACAAUUUUAAAAGCUUAGAUGAUUUUCCCCGUAGAGAUUAUGAAUAUUGAGUUGUUACAUUGUGCCUUUUUCUAAAAUCAGCUUUCAAAUGUCAAA